AGGUGUAGCGCAGCUGGUAGCGCGCCUGCUUUGGGAGCAGGAUGCCGCAGGUUCGAGUCCUGUCACCU
rnacentral:tRNA from 2 species